AUACUUACCUGGCAGGUGUUGUGAUCAAGAAGGCCCAUCGUCUAGGCGUGUGACCUCCAUUGCACCUUGGAGGGGUGCUAGCUUAAGGUCUGCCCAAGUGGUGGAGUUUACAUCGUAAUUUGUUGCAGUAGGGGCAUGCUAAUAUAUUGUGCUCAUCUUCUCCUUUUGAUGCAAUUGUUGAAGGUUGAAAUUUGCGGGCUGAUUAGGUUGGGUAAAUAUCCGAUGGAAGCUACUACUUAGGGUCUAUUUGAUAAGACACCACAAUGAGCUUAUAGCUUAUAGGUUAUAAGCUCGUCUGAC
rnacentral:lncRNA from 1 species